UGAGUACGAGAGGCUACGGCCUCGAAGCAGUCUAUGUCAUACUUCCAAGAAAAGCUUGCAAUGUCAUAAACAAAUAAUGCCUGUACCAUAACCGACACAGGUGGGUAGGUAGAGUAUACUAAGGGGCGCGAGAUAACUCUCUCUAAGGAACUCGGCAAAAUGACUCCGUAACUUCGGGAGAAGGAGUGCCUUAUUUAUAAGGUUGCAAUAACAAGAUCCAAGCAACUGUUUACCAAAAACACAGGUCUCCGCUAAGUCGUAAGACGAUGUAUGGGGGCUGACGCCUGCCCAGUGCCAGAAGGUUAAAGAAGUUGGUUAGCAUUAGCGAAGCUGAUAACUGAAGCCCUGGUGAACGGCGGCCGUAACUAUAACGGUCCUAAGGUAGCGAAAUUCCUUGUCGGGUAAGUUCCGACCCGCACGAAAGGCGUAAUGAUUUGGAUACUGUCUCGGAGAGAGGCUCGGUGAAAUAGACUUGUCUGUGAAGAUGCGGACUACCUGCACCUGGACAGAAAGACCCUAUGAAGCUUUACUGUAACUUGAAAUUGAAAUUGGACUUUAUUUGCGCAGUAUAGGUGGGAGGCGUUGAGAGUAUUCUUGCGGGAAUAUUGGAGCCAUCAGUGAGAUACCACUCUUGUAAUGUUAGAUUUCUAACUUUGGAUCAUUAUCUGGUCAAAGGACAGUUUCAGGCGGGCAGUUUGACUGGGGCGGUCGCCUCCCAAACGGUAACGGAGGCGUACAAAGGUUUCCUCUGAACGGGUAGAAAUCGUAUCUAGAGUGUAAAGGCAUAAGGAAGCUUGACUGUGAGACCUACAAGUCGAGCAGGGACGAAAGUCGGUCUUAGUGAUCUGACGGUGCUGAGUGGAAAGGCCGUCACUCAACGGAUAAAAGUUACUCUAAGGAUAACGCCUGAUCUCCCCCAAGAGUUCACAUCGACGGGGAGGUUUGGCACCUCGAUGUCGGCUCAUCGCAUCCUGGGGCGGUAGUACGUCCCAAGGGUUGGGCCGUUCGCCCAUGAAAGCGGUACGCGAGCUGGGUUCAGAACGUCGUGAGACAGUUCGGUCCAUAUCCGGUGUAGGCGUUAGAAUAUUGAGAGGAGCCUUCUUUAGUACGAGAGGACCGAGAAGGACAUACCUCUGGUGUACCAGUUAUCGUGCCAACGGUAAACGCUGGGUAGCUAUGUAUGGAGAGGAUAACCGCUGAAAGCAUCUAAGUGGGAAGCCCACCUCAAGAUAAGUAUUCUCAU
rnacentral:rRNA from 1 species